UCUUCAUCUCACGUACUUUCUCGCCAUUCGACCGGGCGAGAGAGUGUGUGAAAUGAAGAGA
rnacentral:pre_miRNA from 1 species